UACGAGGGGGGCGAGCGUUGUUCGGAAUUAUUGGGCGUAAAGGGCGCGUAGGCGGUGCGGUAAGUCUGUGGUGAAAUCUCUGGGCUCAACUCAGAGUCUGCCACGGAAACUGCCGUGCUUGAGUGUGGGAGAGGUGAGUGGAAUUCCCGGUGUAGCGGUGAAAUGCGUAGAGAUCGGGAGGAAGGCCGGUGGCGAAGGCGGCGCUCUGGAACGUUUCUGACGCUGAGGCUCGAAAGCGUGGGGAGCAAACAGG
rnacentral:rRNA from 1 species